AAAGACAUAAGAGUACACAUAAUUUUAACACAUAACUUUAAUUUGUUUUUUAUAUAAUACAUUAAAACUUAUACUCUUAUACGACCUUAAAUAAAUUUUAGCUUGUUUGAAAUUUUUUCAUUUUCAUUUUAAACUGUUUUUAUUUUAAAGUUACAGUAAAUAGUUAUGGAUUUAACACUAUUAAUCUCCAUACUAAUGAUCGUAUCUACUGAAGUUCAAAGCAAGCCAUUGUGUUGUUUAUGUGAGUAAAAAUAAUCCAACUAAAAUCAUCAAUUUGUAAUGUUUAAACUAAAGAUAUGUUUUUAUGAAAACUAAAUAUUCCAAAGAAAAAAAAAGUUGUGAUAAAGUUAUAUGUACAAUAUUUUGCUAACGUUUUGCAUACAACUUUUUGGAAAAAUUUUGUUUUCAAUUUCUUUCAAUCUAUUUCAUAGAGUGAUAGAUAAUAAAUCCGGAUUUUCUUGAAAUCCGUAAAAUUCUAAUUUUAGGUUUCGAACUUCAGCAUAAAAAACCGGAAUUUACAAAGAAACUGGAUUUAAAGAUUAAUUCCAAAGUUUGAACUUCAAAAUUAGACUUAUAAACUUCAUAAAACUCAUACUAUCAUUAAUAAAGAGUAAUUUAUUUAUCGCUAACCACUAGAUUUCUUCCAAAAUUAUAAUAAUUUAGAGACAUUUUUCUUUAGUUUAUUUAUUUUGUUAUUCCAACUGUCUUAAAUCCAGUAGUCACUAUAUUAACUGUUGAUAAAUCACACCUAAAAUCUAGAAUUGUAAAGGAAAAAUUAAAAUCCGCAUUUCGGAUAAAAAAAAUCUGAUUUUCUAAACUCCAUUAAGUCCGUUUUUCCUCAUAUAAAGUAUGAAAUUUUCAUAUUUCAUAUUUUCGUAACAAUGUGAACAUUAUAAUCUUAUUUAUUAUUCAUUUAUUAUUUAUUAUUAUAUUAUGUAUUAUU